AGCUUCGAGGUGUUUCACAUCAGAUUGCAAACCUGAAGAAGCAGGCUAAUCCCUGCCGAGGCUU
rnacentral:tRNA from 1 species